rnacentral:tRNA from 1 species
GCCUGGCUGGCUCAGUUGGUAAAGCAAAUGACUCUUGAUCUUGAGGUCAUGAGUUUGAGUCCCAUAUUGGGCA